GACGAACGCUGGCGGCGUGCCUAAUACAUGCAAGUCGAACGCAGUGGGGACGGGUGAGUAACACGUGGGUAACCUCCCAUCAGAGGGGAUAACACUUGGAAACAGGUGCUAAACCGAUACUGAUGGAUGGACCCGCUGUGCAUUAGCUAGUUGGUGAGGGAACGGCGCACAAAGGCCACGAUUCAUAGACGACCGGAGAGGGUGAUGGGCAACACGGGGACUGAGACACGGCCCAGACUCCUACGGGAGGCAGCAGUAGGGAAUCUUCGGCAAUGGAGGAAAGUCUAACCGAGCAACGGCGCGUGAGGGAAGAAGGUUUUCGGAUCGUAAGACUCUGUUGUUAGAGAAGCGGUAUCUAACCAGAAAGCCACGGCUAACUACGUGCCAGCAGCCGCGGUAAUAC
rnacentral:rRNA from 1 species